CCCUAGUACGGCGAGUGAGCGGGAAGAGCUCAAAUUUGAAAUCUGGUAGCCUUCGGUUGCCCGAGUUGUAAUCUAGAGAAGUGUUUUCCGUGCCGGCCCAUGUACAAGUCCCUUGGAACAGGGCGUCAUAGAGGGUGAGAAUCCCGUCCUUGACAUGGACCCCCGGUGCUUUGUGAUACACUUUCAACGAGUCGAGUUGUUUGGGAAUGCAGCUCAAAAUGGGUGGUGAAUUCCAUCUAAAGCUAAAUAUUGGCGAGAGACCGAUAGCGAACAAGUACCGUGAGGGAAAGAUGAAAAGCACUUUGGAAAGAGAGUUAAACAGUACGUGAAAUUGUUGAAAGGGAAACGAUUGAAGUCAGUCAUGCUCUUAGGAUUCAGCCGUUCUGCGGUGUAUUUCCUUUGAGUGGGGUCAACAUCAGUUUUGAUCGAUGGAUAAAGGCACGAGGAAGGUAGCACUCUCGGGUGAACUUAUAGCCUCGCGUCAUAUACAUUGAUUGGGACUGAGGAACGCAGCAUGCCUUUAUGGCCGGGAUUCGUCCACGUACAUGCUUAGGAUGUUGACAUAAUGGCUUUAAACGACCCGUCUUAACCACGGACCCA
rnacentral:rRNA from 1 species